GCUCCUCUGCUUGGAGGCUCUGGGGGUUGUGGGGGAGGAGGCCCUGGAACUGGUCCUGGUGGGGGCCUUUGUCUGUUGAUUAAUGGCCCCGACGGAGAGAAGCCUGUCCGCCCCCAGAACGGAGGGUGAGAAUAAGGUUCAACGAAGAGCUGGACGUGCUCUCAGAGAAGAGGAGAUAUCCUGGGAAAGCAAAGAGGUGCCCCAUCAUCCAGCCCAGCUGGGGGCAGUGGGGCCUGGCUCCCAGAUCUGGAGGCAGCACUCAAAGCCCAAAGAUGGAAGAUCCCUGGGCUGAUUGGAUUCUCCAGGAAGAACCUUGUACAACAAAAUUACCUUUCAGCCUCUGUGCAUUUUAUCUUUCCAGCCAAACAUCCUUUACCAAGUAUUUAUUAAGCACCUCCCACAUGGCAGACACCAUGCUCAGCACUAAGGAUCCAUCUGCCAUUAUUUCCUUGGAAUUUGUUUUCCAGGCAAAAUGAGAUGUGGAUGAUUAGCAAUCCUUACUUCUCUGUGCAGUGCUUCUUGUUGAACACGCCUGUAACUUUCCCACACAUGCCCAGGGUUUUAUCUGUGAUGGGUAGAGCUCUUGUGAUAUAUUCCAAAUAAAGUUGAGGACUGAAGGGACUUGUGA